CCUAUACAGGUGUUGCAUGGCUGUCGUCAGCUCGUGUCGUGAGAUGUUCGGUUAAGUCCGCUAACGAGCGCAACCCUCGUCGUAUGUUAUAUGUGUCAUACGAGACUGCCGGUAAAAGCCGGAGGAAGGUGAGGAUGAUGUCAAGUCAGCAUGACCUUUAUAUCCCAGGGCUACACACACGCUACAAUGGUCUGUACAAUGGGUAGCCAAGCCGCGAGGCGGAGCCAAUCCUGAAAGCAAGGCCUCAGUUCAGAUUGCAGUCUGCAACUCGACUGCAUGAAGCCGGAGUUGCUAGUAACCGCAGGUCAGCAAUACUGCGGUGAAUACCGUUCCCGGGUCUU
rnacentral:rRNA from 1 species